UCAGCAUUAUUUAUUCACGUCCGGAAUGUAUUGUAAAUGAGGACAUCGUGGGGAAACCUGUGUUCUGGCCGUGAAAACAUAUGAUACUCCAACAGCAACUGCAGAUGCUAGUUUCAGGUAGAUCUGCUACUCUCAAGCUACGACAGCUGUUUCCACUAUGGUUGACAGCGUAUGCGUGGAGUGGGAUUAUCUAACUGGGCGACAGCUACACAGUGAUCUAUCACCAAAGCUGUUGUCCGUGUUAUCGAAUGAAAACCAAGAGCCCCAUCGUCUACCGCCUGAUGUUACAGUAUUACUGGGCCUUUCAAUGGAGAUGUUUGUAGAAGCCGACCGAGGCUAGAUAAGACCUUGUCCUCAAGCUGACAGUCACAAGCUGCUGUCCGUGGCGUUAUCCUUGGUAGUUUUCCGUGUUGCGAAAUGUCCCCCGGACUUGCGACAAUAUUUCGUUCUUAUCUGUAACGCGAGUCUCACAACGUGGACUAAUGUACUUCUGGGACACGAGUUGACCGAAUAAAGAAAGUACACAAGUCA